CUUUUUUAAAGAGUUGAAAGUAAUUUACAAGUUUUAAUUAUGCAAUGUAGGAUUCAAUCGCAAAUGGAAUCCCUUUGGAAGAUUUUGGACAUGGUCAUCCUGAUCCUAAUCUGAGGACUGUUUUAGCUUGGCUUUCUAUUAUUGCGCACCGCAACAAAGACAAGAAGGCAGGGGAGAAACUGAUCUCUUUGGCUGAUGUUGUGAAGGAACACUGGGCAACUUAUGGAUUCUUUUCUAGAUAUGACUGAGGAAUGUGAAUCUGAAGGUGCCAAUAAAAUGGUAGCAUAUCUACGAGAGACUGCAUCAAAGAGCAAGAUUGGCGAUAACUUCUAAUGAUAAUUUUGAUAGUUCUAAUGAUCUCCUAAGUUCUAACGGUGAACUUAUUUUGUCCUAAUUCAAUUAUUAGUUUUGUUAAAGUAUUGUAAUUUUUUAAUUACAAUUUUAGCAUGUAAAUAAUUCAUGUAAAU